CCUACGGGUGGCAGCAGUGGGGAAUAUUGGGCAAUGGGCGCAAGCCUGACCCAGCAACGCCGCGUGAAGGAAGAAGGCUUUCGGGUUGUAAACUUCUUUUCUCAGGGACGAAGCAAGUGACGGUACCUGAGGAAUAAGCCACGGCUAACUACGUGCCAGCAGCCGCGGUAAUACGUAGGUGGCAAGCGUUAUCCGGAUUUACUGGGUGUAAAGGGCGUGUAGGCGGGAAAGCAAGUCAGAUGUGAAAACCAUGGGCUCAACCUGUGGCCUGCAUUUGAAACUGUUUUUCUUGAGUACUGGGGAGGCAGACGGAACUCCUAGUGUAGCGGUGACAUGCGUCGAUAUUAGGAGGAACACCAGUGGCGAAGGCGGUCUGCUGGACAGCAACUGACGCUGAGGCGCGAAAGCGUGGGGAGCAAACAGGAUUAGAUACCCCUGGAGUC
rnacentral:rRNA from 1 species